CAGUCCUUAGAAAGUGAAAAGACAAAUCGUGGUUGAGAAUGAACCCUCUUUUUAAGGUCUCAUCCGACGUCCCGGAUCUCUUUUUACACUAAAUCUCCAUUUCGAUUACAAAAUCCAUAACCAAUUAUUAUCACCGAUAUCUUCUUGCGCUCAAUCCCCUCUUCCGUUACAGAAGUAUAUUAGUGCUCUUCUUCGGAUUGUUCUUCUCCAUUGCGGCGACAAGAUUUGCGCAAUUGAAUCCCUUUGAUCAAUACCCGGAUAAUCAAUUUGAUACGUUACGUUUCAAAUGUUUCCCUAUAUAAACUUCAAUAGAUGUUAUCAUCUUCCUAGGUUUCUCCAUUUCUUUCUACCGGAUACUCUCUGAAGAAUACUAGGUCAGUAGGUAAUGCCAUCCUUCCCCUAUAUUGAGAGUGAUGUUUAUAAUAUCUGGUCUACGGAUGAAUUCACACUCACAUGUGAAUUUUUAGUUCUGUGAAAAGCGAGAACAGCAACCCUUCUUAAAAACGGUGAUAUUCUUUCAUCUGUGAUAUAAGAUUAGUCCAUUCGACACCAACCCACAGCCAGUAAAGAUUCGUGUUGGUGAUAGACAUGUGUAAUCGGUUUUUUCUUGAGCGAAAGGACUCGCCAAAACUCAUAAAACCCAUUAGCCAGUGUAUGGAAGUGACAUUGAAUAUCUAGAAUACACCUAAAAGAUCCAUAUGCGAUCCUUACCCAAACUUCUCAAAUUUUGCUGGGCAGCAAAGUAAUAUCGUGGAAGUACUCUCUCUAUAAGAUAGUUUAACAUACAAAUAGAGCGCCAAUAAGUGAGCAGUCGUCCCUCAUUUCACAUGGUUACUGGAAAUCAUACUGUCGAGAUAGUUCUGAAAGUUUGCAGAGUUUGAAAGAGUCGUAGUUGGUGGAACUUUUGAUGUGCAUUUCAAGCUCUUCCUACUGUAAAAAGUUCAUUUCUGAAACUAUUUUCUGUUUAAGUAAUUUUCUUACAUUCUUUUUCUGCAGGUAAACCACAACUUAGUUUUAGUUGGCAAUAUGUUUGAAGAAACCGGAAUGCGGCCUCUCAUGGGUGAUUCUUUUUGCACCAAGAAUAGGAAGGCAUGACUCUCACCUAAAAAAACAGAUUAUAACGUAAUUAUAAAUAGUGAGUGUACUUCCCCAAUAUUACCUGAAACUAUCCAAUAUUGGCCCCCUAACUAACGUGUAGUAAUUUUAAAAUUCUACCAAUAAGCUCCUAUAAGAGUUUCAGUCAGCUUCCUUAAAAGGAGAAGGACAUCAUUGGAUGACCAUGAUUUCCCUACGAUGAAAUGAAGUAGACUUCAUGGGACCAAUGAGGUUACCAGGUUUUCAUUCUCUUCUGUUUCACUAUGUGGUAUACUAAAUAGUGGGUACAGGUUACAAAGUGUAAGAAGAUAGUGAGCUUAAGAUAAAUCACGAGUGCUGAGACAGAUGGUCCACCUAAUAUCGCUAACCAAUCUCUUUUAUAUUACUAGAUGGCACGAGAAGAUAAAUUUCCAUAUUUUCCUUAAGGAAGUUAAGUACAUCUUUGGCAUACAGUGAACAAUGUCAUGCAUACCAAGUGAUAACUCAUGAUUAGACGUCCUCUUUAAAGAGAUGCAUUUAAGUCUAUUGAAUGUUAGAUAGAUGCCUAUCCCAGGCUUGGAAUGUUAGAAACAAUGAUAAAGGCCAAAGGUUGGUAUGACUAAUGUUAUUGUACCCAUUGUUGCGUAAAUCUUUGCACGUUGUUUAUAUUGUUUGGACUUUGGAAUUUAUUCUAUUUGUUCUUUCUACCUGGACAGCCAACCAACAUUUCUGCAAUGCUCAUCUCUAAUUGUAUCUAUAGUUAUCUCACUUUUUCUGUUAAGGGGUUAAUUUUUUUUCCAAGUGCAAUCACUUUAA